ACACUACAUCUGAUGUCUCGCUAUAUUUUUCCUACUCCUCAAGUAUAGGGGCGUCAACCGCGCUCGUAUUGCAUUAUGAACUCAAUCUAUGAGAUCAAUGUGUAUAGUAGGAGUCUGAAAUAUGACCCAAGAUUAUAUCCAUCGAUUUACUAGCCUGUUAAAUACUAUAUUCUAGUAACUAACAACACUCACAAUGAAAUCACUAUUAGACUGCGCCAAGUUUCAAACCCUUAUCAUCAAAUCCGGUCUAACCCCAAGAAUCAUUGACGCAAACCACCUUAUUCAUGUGUACUCAAAGCAUUCUCUUAUUCAAGAAGUCCAAAAGGUGUUCGAUGAAAUGCCUGAAAGAAAUGUUUUCACUUGGAAUGCUAUUAUAAACGCUUAUGUUAAAGAUCAAAACUUUACUCAAGCGAGAACCUUUUUUGGUGCUGCUCCCCUUAAGGAUUGUGUCACGUACAAUACAAUGCUGUCUGGUUAUGUGAAUUCUGAAGGAUUUCAGGAUCAAGCAGUUCGGUUAUUUGUUGAAAUGCAAUAUGAGGACAAAGUAUCUGAAUAUGCCUUGACUACCAUGCUUGGUUUGAUAACAAAGUUGAGUCUUUUGUCAUAUGGUAGGCAAUUGCAUUCGUAUAUGUUGAAGAGCGGGAAUAGUUUAAGUAGGUAUGCACUGAGUUCUUUGAUUGUUAUGUAUUCGAAAUGUGGUUGUUUCAGAGAUGCUAGGAGGAUCUUUGAUGGAUCUGACGUUGGGGCCGUUGACACGGUGUCCAAGAAUGCGAUGGUGGCAGCUUGUUUUAGAGAAGGUGAGUUGGAAAUGGCCCGGGAUGUGUUUUCGUGUAGGCCGGAAUUGAAUGAUGAAGUUUCUUGGAACACAAUGAUUUCGGGUUUUGCACAAAAUGGGUAUGAAGAGGAGGCCAUUAAGUUGUUCAGGAGCAUGAUGGAGGAGGGGUUUGUAUGGAAUGAACACAGUUUUUCUAGUGUUAUAAGUGCUUGUUCUGGCGUGAAGAAUUUGAAACUUGGGAAGGAGAUUCAUGCUUGGAUUUUGAAGGAAGGAAUGAGUUUGCAUCCAUUUAUUAGCAGUAGUAUUAUUAAUCUUUAUUGCAAGUGUGGUCUCUUGAAUUAUGCAUAUUCUGUUUGUGCAACUACUCAGAAAGAGAACCCAUUUGCCAUCACACCAUUGAUUGUAGGAUAUUCAGGAAUGGGUAACAUGUUAGAAGCAAGAAGGCUUUUUGACUCAUUGCCUGAGAAGAAUCAUGUUGUAUGGACUGCUAUAAUAUCUGGAUAUGUGAAAGCUCAUCAAUGUGAAGAUGCUUUUCAGCUUUUCAGAGAGUUAAUGACACAGGGAAAAACUAUUCCUGAUGAACUGAUUUUUAUAAACCUGCUAGGUGCAUGCACUGUACAUGCGACCUUUAAUUAUGGGAAGCAAAUACAUGCCUGUAUACUGAGAACUGGCACUGAAAUGGAUGCUAAGUUGGCAAAUUCUUUGGUUGAUAUGUACUCAAAAUGUGGUAAUGUAACAUAUGCACAGAGGGUUUUUCAAUUGGCUGUUGAUAGAGAUUCUAUACUUUACAAUAGCAUGAUAGCUGGUUAUGCUCUCCAUGGGUAUGAAAAUGAAGCUAUUCAGCUUUUUAGUCAGAUGACAGAGCAAGGUUUCCAACCUGAUGCGGUCACUUUUCUUGCCCUUCUAUCAGUUUGCCGGCACCGUGGAUUAGUAAAAAUGGGAGAAAAGUAUUUCUUUUCCAUGACCGGAGAUUACAAAAUAUCACCUGAAACUGACCACUAUGCAAGUAUGAUCGACUUGUAUGGAAGGGCUAAUCAACUUGAUAAGGCUGUCAGCUUAAUGGAAAAGUUGCCUGUAGAACCAGAUGCUGUAAUACUUGGUGCAUUUCUAAAUGCCUGCAAAAUGAACAGAAAUGCUGAACUUGCAAAAGCUGCAGAGAAUAAGCUAUUGCAAAUCGAAGGAGAGAAUGGGUCCAGAUAUGCGCAGUUGGCUGGUAUCUAUGCCUCGGAGGGGAAAUGGAAUGAGAUGGGAAGGGUAAUGAAAAUGAUGAGAGGAAAAGAGGUCAAGAAAACUGCUGGUUGCAGUUGGUUAUAUGUAGGAGACACUGUCCAUACCUUUAUCUCUGGUGACAGAUCUCACUCGGACAAUAAGGCCAUAUAUAUUAUUUUAGGAUGUUUGAUCAAAGAAUUAACUAAACUAUCAGCUACUAUAUUCUUAGAAGAAGAGCUGGCCACAUUAUGUUGAUCAAUGUGGACUUGCAAAUGCUGAUCUUUAAACUUCAAGAUGCUUCAUAAUGGCAUUUUGAAGCAGUAGACAUGAUUUCGGCAGUCAGAAUGCAUCAUUUGUACUCCAUGUGUGUACUGCUCAAGUUAUGUCCUAUUCCUGUGACAAUCUGAAUGUGAGAGACUUCUCAUGCAUUGCAGUGCUUAGAUUUGUAAUGGCUUGUCAGAGAGGGUAUCAAUGGCUGUCAAAGAGGGUAUCAAUGGCUGUCAAAGAGUCCAAACAGACAAGCAUUAGCAUGCAGCAGGUCCUCCGAAUCAGGAUUUGGAUGUGAUACUGGAUCAGUCAUUAACAUCCUUGCUCAUCGUGAUGCAACUCAACGUGCUCUCAUUCAACAGGAAUACAG